GGACCUCGACCCUUCUCUUUUCUCUUUUACACACUCUUACUCUCUUUUCACCUUUGUUGUCUGCCUGCCUGUUCGCUUGGUAGACGCACACCAACCAACCUAACCAACUGGACUGCUAAUGCUCGUUCUGCCAGUGCCACUUCCCUUUUAUCGCUUUUCCUCACCGCUCUUUCUCUUCUUACCUUUCUUUCGUUCGACGGUUUUCUCCUCUUUAUUACGUCAAAUCUCUGAGUCCAUUUUUCGUCUCUGUGGGUAUAAAAUCGCGUGAUUUCAACCAAGCGUGCGUUUCACGUGUCACGUGCUCUUGCUGUCCUCCUCGCACACCUGUAUUUCGCGUGCGCCCCACUUCAACCUGAACCGAUGAGCUCUGUUCUCUAUACGCUACAUCUUCAGAUACUACUAUCCUGUUGUUAAACAUAUGCAUUAUAGACGCGCUGUGUUGACAUUUUCUCCAUAUUUAUGACUCUAAUAGGAUUAUAACGUACGUCAUUCUAAUAGGAUUAGAAAUGUCUGCUUUAUAAGAUGAAAUGUCAACAUCGAAAGUCGACUUCGAUAGUCAGUUUCGAUUGUCGAGAUCUCUCGUUUGCAAUAACAGAUUUAUAUCGCAUGUGAAAUUUCGUAAACGUGGUUGGCGUUUUUCGAAGACUAAGUUAUGUAGUUGGUUUCGUUUAGUAGAGUUUGUUACGUUUAUAAGUGUAUUACGGUAACUGUGAAAUAAAUAGCGCGCUACGCGUAAUAUGUCUACUGUGGAAUGUGACUUUGAUCGUGCGGAGAAAGGUAUCCGUGAACUUGUUUUCAUGCGCCGCUGAACCACGUGUUUUGGGAACGGGCACGCGCCCCUGUGUGUUUAGUUGCACGACUUUUUGCUACUCCACUUCUCUUGUAAGGAGCAUCAUGUAUACAUAAAAGGCCAUUUAUCUGUCAAUUUUGUUUUGGAGAAAUCGUACGUAACACGUUUUGUGCAGUAUACGCCAUAGAUGGAACACAAUCGACUUUCCCGUUAAAUAGUUCCAUACUCGUAUGUAUAACCAUUUGAUAAGUAUAAACACGGUAGUAUAAAAUAUUUCAUAAAAUUAUUGAUUGUAGAUUACGUACAUUCUGUGCAAUUUUGCACUUCCAAAUUUUUUACAAAGUAUAAGAAGCAUAAGAAUCUGCUCUCUAAUCAUCGCUUAAUAUAUAUACAUAAUCGUAUAGUAUCAUUUUUAGCAUAUAAGGAAUCCGCUUACACCUAGAAAUCGGUUGUUUGCAUCUAUAGUUUUUGAAUAUGGUUGAGCCCAAAAUAAGAAUAAAUGAUGCUCGUAAUCAGGAAACUGUUCAAUCGCAGAUUGAUUUCUUGAGAUAUUCAUAGAAUUUCUAAAGGUUGAUUUUUAAUAAAUCAUACUGCAACCUGGACGAUGAUGCGGAUAUUGCGAAUGAAUCGUUUGACAUUUACUAGUAGAGAAUGCCUUAUAGAUUAUUGCAAUUGUUUGAGUAACGUUACAACUCUGGCGAUAACGUAUGGCUUCGAUUCCUCCUCCGUUCGAAGCUUUCAAUGAGACCUAAUUCGCCUCGUAUCUCGUUGAGGAUAUUGACCUGUUUACGCAACGCUUCGAUUCGUUCACGAAGACGCAUUUUCCUACCAGAGCUUCGUCUUACGACUAGUAUUUGUCUGUCAUUUUUCCAGUGAUAAUUUACGCUUUUUUCUUAUUUCUUAUUUCAACAUUUCUCUUUCUGUAAUUACUUAUGAAAAAAAAUAUUCCCAAAUCUCAGCUACGUAUUUCCAGACAUCUUAGUCCGAUCUUCAUAAAUUCGGUUACAAGCGAUAAACAGCUGUAAACAAUUUCGCUGUUCUACCUUUUCAAGAGAAAUUGAACAGUCUGCAGCAACAAGGAAGCGGAAAUCGAACAGUUUGCAACAAAGCGUGAAUUUAUUGCACGUUUGAAAAGCUGCUUGAGUUUUAAUUGGUUUUACUCAAAUCGCCGCACAGUAGAGUUAUUUCUUUAUUGCAGCGGUGCUUUCAAUUGCCAUUGCGUAUAACGAUGUAGAUCGCUAAUCUAAUACAUACGUCGAAGCACAAAAGCGUUGUCAACGAGCGUACAACGAAGCCCGAGAAUAUUCUAUUGUACGUUCUAUUGAAAGGUCGCAGGCUUUAACGCAAUGUCGGGAACUUUUGAUUUCGAAAAUGGCGGUAAGGGACCCAACGCUGGCGAAUAACAGGAAGGAUAGGAAGGGAGAAACAGCAACAUUGAUUGCGUUCGCGCCUUUAUGCUGGUUCGCGUGUAUUGGCACAGCUUCUGCGUAGCGUCAAAGCGGUAACCGUGUGACGCCUAGCUUGUUACUCGAUUCACGGUUCACCUUGCGUUAGCUUUGUGGAAGAAAUCCUCCUCUAACAAAAUUCAAUAUCCACCAAGUGGUGUGCGAACUCGUGUCGCAGAAGGCUAGAUUCGUCAAGCUGCCAUGCGUCACUUUCUGAUGUAACAUUCUUUCCUUCUCGAAAAACUCUUUUCCAGAGUUCCUAUAAUUCGGAAACUUUCUACGCAAUGUUAACAGCGACGAUAUCACAGCGCGAUAUGCGGUAGACGAAGAUGGAAAUAAUUGUUGUUUGAUGUCAAUUUUAUUAUUCCAUUAAAUCAUCAGUCUGUAAAUAUGUAAUAUAAAUGUAAAUGAUAAUUCCCUUCAAAAGAGGAUUAGUAAAGAUAGUUUGUACAUCGAACUCUGAUUCACUUGAGACUUAGCAUAUUCGUUCAUUAUAUAUUCUUCUUUGUUAAUUCUUGUUAAAUAGUGUUACAUACGGAGAAUUAGAUAUGGAGAAGUUGAGCGAAGAUAUGUAUAAUUUAAAUUUCCGAUGUAAAAAUGUCUUUCUUUCUUUAAAGAGCAGUUUAACAAUAUGAUAAUCUUGCCAGGCUCGGUUAAAUCACCGGUUUCAAAAUUUUAAUUUAAAAUGAUACAUUCAUUGUUAUUUCUUUUGUUCAUCUAACUUUAUGUAAAUUCUUAUACUAUCUGAUUAAUCAAUUUCUCAAUCUUUGUUAAUAGAAGAAUUUACGUAAAGUUAUUAAAAAAAGAUCAUCCUUUAAUUUUGAUUGUUCUGUGUCAAGAAGGUAUUGCGUUACAUUGCUGUAUAAUUUUUUUCUACUAUAAACUGCUACAAUGGAUGUUCUUUGUUUUUUCAAUAAAAUCUAGUCGUAAUCGCGAUUCGAUUGAAGAGCGAAUUUCUCUUUUAUUCCACAAAAAUGUGUAAAGUUACACAAAAACUUCGUUCAUCGCUAAAUGCACAAAAACUGACGAAAUGGAAGGCAGGAUAAAUGGUUUCUGCAUGAUAUUUACGAAAAAAUGGAGAGAUUGUUCCCGGCAUUGGCACUAUUUGGUUAAACAUCACCGUGUAUGGUUAGACAAAAAAAGGAAAUGAUAUUUAAACGGAGCCAGGAAGUAGAGAAAAUAUUAAAACAAACGUAUCAGGUUUCAGGAAAACUGCAGAUUAUAUAUAUUUUUUGAUCCUUGUCCCGAAUUCUCAUUUAAAUGCCGCACCGUGAGAACAUUGGCUGUGCACCUGGCCUGCGAACGCGCGUACCUGGUCUGCGAACGUGCGAACGUAGCCAGCGAAUUUUGAUCUUUUUCCCCGAAUGCUCAUUCAAACGUCGCACUGCGGAACGUAGUAAAUAUUAAAUCCUUAUUUUCAGUGUUUAAUUGCUUUAUCGCAUUUACAUGGAAAGCUUAAUUGUGAAAAUUUUAAUUAGGUUUUUAUUAUAUUUCUUGGGCUAAUACUUUUUUUAUUAUCAUUCAACUCUUAUUUACCUUCGCCUAUGCAGAUAUUAUGGUAAAAGUGCAGUUUCACUUUGGAAGAUUGAAAAUGUUUAAUAUAAAGUAAUACAAGGUAUAAUUUUUAAUCUACUAGAAAGCUAAGCCCCUGUUUCAUAAUUUUUGUACCAGCUCCUUGAUUAUUUCUUGUAAUUUGCAACAUCCAGUGUUACACGUUGUAAUGGCGCAUUUAGACCAACCAAGCAAAUGCUCGUUUUUUGUUGACUUUAGUAAAAUUUAGUAAAAUUUUCUAAAAUACAGUGUGUAUAUAUGUAACAAAUACAAUGGUGUAUAAAUAUCUUUGGUAGCCGCUGUAUAUUAAAUGCAGAUAAAAAGCGAUUGUGCGUGUGCCUGUAAAAGCUUAAAUUUAUAAUAAAAAAGAACGUUUAAUAAACUAUUAACUGAGAAACAGGGUAUAACACAAUUCCUACCAUCGUAUAAAUUGUAUGAUCGUGCCGCUCCAUAAGCGCAGAUAAAAGAUGAUGAAAAAAGUAGUUUUGCGCUUCGCUUGUCCCCUGUAUGAAAGACCUUUACCCUUGUACACUGAGUGUUCAAAAUGCCUAGCUGCGAUUCUGUUCACAUUACACGCAACGUACGCUCUCAAUCCCUUUGAUGUCCUCCAGGAUAGCGAUUUCAAAUGAAUCGGUUUUUCUUUGCUAUAGACCGUAACAUUCACUCCAUAGCCUGAUCUCAAAACGCACCAAUUACCUUGCGGUUUUUUGCAACACGGCAUAAAGAAAUGUAUAUUUACUGGAGAGAUUUAUACGUGGUAUAAGAACAAAAAUUAUUAUUACUUUAAUUAACCCUUUGGUAUGUGUUUCUUUCAAUCGUAUAAUAAUAAAGUAUAUUGAAAUUACUAAUUUAUGUGACACAAAAUAGGAAGAUAAUUGUUAAAUAUUCAUUUUUUAUUUUUCCUUCUUUAUUUGUAUUUUCUUUUAUCUGAGAAUGGGUUUUGUAGCUAAAUGGCUGUAACAUGCGUGCGUGUUACCUGUAGCUUUGAAUACUAUAGACGAAAUUACUAGUACAGGUAUCUAUUAAAAUAUUGCAUUCUUAAUUUGUAAUUGGUUACUUACGGUUUCGAUCUUAUGUAUUUCUUAUUAUAUAAAUUUCAGUACAAAUCGAAAUUACUUGAACGCCGAUUUUGUUCGAUGAAAAUAUUUCACAUUAUGAAAAUUCCAUUAGAAGUUGAAAUUAUUUCAACGUUUUCGUGUUCGAUUAUAAUAUUCUUUUAUAAUAUUCCCGUUUACUUACAGGUACUCUGUCCCAUAGCAUAAUAAAUCUACUCUGCCCCUUUUCUCUUUACUUUCCGCUUUCUCCUGGGAGAGUCUCAGUCUCUGCCUCCUAAUACAAAUUUUCUCUCCAUUCCAUACUCACUCUUCUUUUCGUUCUCUUAAUAUCACUCAAUCCCAAUAUACCUCCCCACUUGUCGUUUUAAUGGACCAUUUGCUGAGAAGGACAUUUCGCUCCGUUUAAACGCAUUUUCCCCGUCUACUUCGUUGCGAUUGUCUUUCCCAUAUUUCCCAACGAGAAUUCAUUUUUAAAAAAUUCAAUUGAAGUUAGAUAUGUAUUCGCUUGUUUCUCUAGCUUAUUAUGCAAUAGUAUUUCUUCUACUGAACACCCUCUGGAAUUUUCUGUUGAAAUAUAUAUAUACACGAUCGAUUUAUUUUAGAAGAAAAAUAGUAGAUUGAUAUUUAAUGUAAAUUAAGUGCGUACGAGUUAAAAAUGAAUAACAAAUUUAAGUGGCAUAGAUAUAGAAUAAUAUAUACGAGGAAUAAAAUCAGCUCGUACUUCGUGUACGUUUAUUAUAUUUUUGAUCAGUUUUUUAAAUAUAUACGAUACAUAUAAGAAGUCAUGUUAACAGUACAAUCUAUUACUCUGAAAGUAGAAACUUAUAUACAAAUCUGGUCAUAAAUAUUCAAAACAGAGUCGGAAUAGAAUUAACGGAAAACAGAUAGUUGGAAUAGAGUUAACUCGUAAUUGAUUUGUCGUUAUUAAUGUUUAAUCUGUGAUUUCGAAAUGCUCAGGCUGAUGAAUUUAAUUCAAUCAAGAAACAAGUUCGCUCUGUAUUACAUGAAUAAGCAAAGAAGAAGAAUUUUAGUCGCGUUGUAUCAUUUAAAAUUCAAUCUUAUACUUUGCUCUUCGCUUCUUGUAAUUUGCUCUCUAUAUUUCAUUUACUUUUGCCUCACGGAUUGAUACAGUUUAAAGUUGAAGCGAAUAAACUGCCAGCAACGAUACCGUGAUAUUGAUUAUAGCCCGCGGUUAUCUCAAAAUCUACUAUCGUGUACAUAAAUUUUGGGAAACGUGGCCGAAGCCAGAGGGACAUUGUUGCGGCGAUAAGGCGGAUACGAUUAUAAAAAUGAAAUUGCCGGAGUGUGACAGUGCUAAGUUCUGGAUUUAGAUUCUAUCGUACGUGCGGUAGAAACGCGACCCGUUUCUAUAAUGUAACAAUAUGAUGCAUGUGCUUUCCUAGCUCUUAGGCUAACCGGGUCGUGCGGUAUGAGUUAUGAACGCUGGUGGGACUGUGGCGACCCUGGAAGAACCGAGGAAUGGUAUCCGGCGUGUUUAACAUCCGAAAGAGCUUCGAGAGUAGGUACCUGCAGUCUUACCGUAGUUCAAGAGAAUCUUUGCCCGUUGCUGAAUUAAUAUAUCGUCGGGGCGUGACGUUAAGUUCGCUUUUCUAGCUACUGCCUUCCGGCGUUGUUAAUUUCUCGUUAAUUAACGACCAACAUUCCGGUGAUUAUCGUAUCUCAUUCUCCCUACGGCGAAAAAUAACUUUCGAUUAUUACGAUAUUCUGUAAGUGGACAUUAUUAUAUAAUUGGAGAUGUUAUGGAAUUUGUGGAAUUUAUCAGGAUAUUUGAUUAUUGGCGAAGAGAUUUGGUUCUAAUAAAUUCUUUCUGACAAGGUUAAUUAAGAUUAGCAGUUCGUAUUAUUAAUCGGUUGUAGUUAGCUUGAAAUUCUAUCGAAAUUUGAUAAUAUACGUAUAUUAGAGUUAGAAAAUUAAAACCAUUUCUCAAUGGAGGAGGAAAUUCUCCAGUAGUUUUACUAAAAUAUAUAAAGAGAUCAUCAAGGAGACGAAAAUACUUAUUUUAAAAAGAGAGUUAGGAAAUUGAUAUUGUGAUAUAAUAGUCUAGAAGAAUAUUUGAUAAAGUAAUAAACGUAUGCAGUUCCAUAAUUACAGCAGAAUAACGUACAGAAAUUACAAUAAGCUGCAAUAAUCGUUUAUUUGACAAAAAUUGAAAUAACGUUAUAAGACGUUUGUUACGCUCCUUGUUGCGCUAUAUUUUAUUCCAUGUACUGCCCUAUUCAAAAAGUUCUUUCAAGUAAGCCUUAUGUUCGUUUAUGGCAACUUCUUUAAGUAUUUAGCGUGUCUAUGUUUUUUUCGGCCCUCUCACGACUUGGAAAUGAUUUCUUGAUCUUUCUAAAAAGUACCACGAAAUUGAAGUGAUAUGCUAAAAGAAGCGUAUGAAGAGAAUGCUGUGAAGCCAACAACCAUUUACAAAUGGAUGGCGAGUAAGAAGAAGGAAGAGAAAAUGUGGA